rnacentral:tRNA from 1 species
GCCUGGGUGGCUCAGUCGGUUAAGCGUCCGACUUCGGCUCAGGUCCUGAUCUUACGGUUUGUGGGUUCAAGCCCCGCAUCGGGCU